GCCGGGGUGGCGGAAUUGGUAGACGCGCCUGACUCAAAAUCUGGUGGGUGUAAGCCCGUGGGGGUUCGAGUCUCUCCCUCGGUACUA
rnacentral:tRNA from 1 species